rnacentral:rRNA from 1 species
CGAAUCUUUGAACGCACCUUGCGCUCCUUGGUAUUCCGAGGAGCAUGCCUGUUUGAGUGUCAUUAAUAUAUAUAUCAAACUUUCUUUGUUGAGUGGUUUGGAUGUGGGGGUUUGCUGGCCUCUUAAAAAGGUUCAGCUCCUCUGAAAUGCAUUAGCAGAACAAACCUGUUCAUUGGUGUGAUAACUAUCUACGCUAUUGAAUGGUAAGGGGCAGUUCAGCUUUCUAAUGGUCUUUGGACAAUUCAUCAUUAAUGUGACCUCAAAUCAGGUAGGACUACCCGCUGAACUUAAGCAUAUCAAUAAGCGGAGG